rnacentral:rRNA from 1 species
AUAGCGUAUAUUAAAGUUGUUGCAGUUAAAAAGCUCGUAGUUGGAUUUCGGCGUGCGCCUCGGGCUGGUCGGCCGUCAAGGUCUGUACCGUUCGGGUCACGCCCCACUGUAGGAUACUCACCGCUGUCCUUAACUGGGUGGCGGUCAAAGGGGGUCGUACAUGGGGGCAACUCUGUGUAUAUCUCUGGGGUUCCUACUCUUUUACUUUGAGCAAAUUAGAGUGUUCAAAGCAGGCAAUCGAGCCUUGAAUACUUCAGCAUGGGAUAAUGGAACAGGACUGGUGUCCUGAUUUCGUUGGUUUCUAGGAUAUCAGUAAUGAUUAAUAGGGAUAGUUGGGGGCAUUAGUAUUUAAUUGUCAGAGGUGAAAUUCUUGGAUUUAUGAAAGACUAACUUCUG